rnacentral:rRNA from 1 species
GAUGAACGCUGGCGGCGUGCCUAAUACAUGCAAGUCGAACGAAACUUCUUUAUCACCGAGUGCUUGCACUCACCGAUAAAGAGUUGAGUGGCGAACGGGUGAGUAACACGUGGGCAGCCUGCCCAAAAGAGGGGGAUAACACUUGGAAACAGGUGCUAAUACCGCAUAACCAUAGUUACCGCAUGGUAACUAUGUAAAAGGUGGCUAUACUACCGCUUUUGGAUGGGCCCGCGGCGCAUUAGCUAGUUGGUAGGGUAAAGGCUUACCAAGGCAAUGAUGCGUAGCCGAAGUGAGAGGUUGAUCGGCCACAUUGGGACUGAGACACGGCCCAAACUCCUACGGGAGGCAGCAGUAGGGAAUCUUCCACAAUGGGCGAAAGCCUGAUGGAGCAACGCCGCGUGGGUGAAGAAGGUCUUCGGAUCGUAAAACCCUGUUGUUAGAGAAGAAAGUGCGUGAGAGUAACUGUUCACGUUUCGACGGUAUCUAACCAGAAAGCCACGGCUAACUACGUG